ensembl:lncRNA
UAACUUUUUGCCGGCAUCAUCUGAAGAUGAUCUGAGCCAAUUUUCGUGAAAAUCGGACUAACCGUCUAGGACGAGUUCGAAAAAGUAGGUUUUUCGAACAAUUGAAAAUAGCGAAAAAACUAAACCUUGCGAUUUUUGAAUUUCGGGGUUCAUUCGACUUGGCCUGACCCAAGGAUUCAGAGGAAAAAAGAAUUUUCAUUUUGUGGCUUACGGUUAAAAAGUUAUUAGCAUAAAAAUAUUGAAACUUUGGACAAGUGGUGGCGCUAGAGAGUAGACGAUAGAGACUUCAAAUUUGGUAUAGUUAAUGCUGGGACUGUCCUCUAUCAGUGUGCCAAAUUAUACAACUUUCCCGCAAUCGGUUCUAUGGGCUGCCAUAGACUUGCGGCGGAAGAAGAAGAAGAAGAAGAAGAAGAAGAAGAAGAAGAAGAAGAAGAAGAAGAAGAAUAAUAACGCCAACGGAUACAAUAGGUGCCUACGCACCUUCGGUGCUUGGCCCCUAAUAAAUAUAGCUGCAAGCAGCAAUUACGGGGCCAAGCACUACAGGAGCAAGCUUCAGACAAACGGCGGGAAUGAGUAAUUAAAACCGUUUUAAGAUUAUUUUAAGCAAAAUGGCUUGAAAACAAUAAAGACAACAACUUGUAAUAGUAUUUAUUGGCAUAUCAUAUUUGACCAGUAGGUGGCGCUGUUACUAAAUUAGUGUGGAAUGGUCAGUGUGACGUGACUAUUGCACAUACAAAAUAUGGUGUCAGUAUGUCAAAGAUUUGAAGAGAUAUAGCCUUGGAGUCAUUUUGACACAGUGCUUAAAGUUUAUAGCGGCGCUGUACGAAAACGGUUGCUUCUAUCGACACGAAAUCCAUAAUGUUUUGUCAGCACAGUCUGAAGAUGACUUUAUUCGAUUUUGGUGAAAAUCGGACCAAAGGUUGAUGAGGAGAGCAAAAAAGUAGGUUUUCAACAUAAAUCAAAAUAGCCGACAGAAAGUUCGGCUUAUUAUGACAUACUUGAUAUGUAUGUUGUUGGCAUGACCCAAGAAAUAUUUUGAGAUCAGUUUCAUUACAAUAGGUCAAUGCAAUCAAAAGUUAUGAAUUUUUCAAAAAUGCUAAUAAUUAAGAAUUAAUGAAUGUUUAUUACUCCGGACCAAUAGGUGGCGCUGUUACCAAAUUGAUGUGGCGUGAUCAAUUUGUGGUGACAAUGGUUCAUGCAACGUUUGGUGUAAAUAUGUCAAAUCUGUGCAGAGAUACAGCCUCAGAUACAUUUUGGCAUCCUUCCAACAAAUUCGUUGGUGCGCUAAACGAAAACCAUUUCGUAUAUCGACACGAAAUCCAUAACUUUUUGCCAGCAUCGUCUGAAGAUGAUCUGAGUCACAUUUGGUGAAAAUUGGACUAACGGUCUAGGAGGAGUUUGAAAAAUUAGGUUUUCAACAUGAAUCAAAAUGGCGGACAGGAAGUUUGGCCAAUUUUGUCAUAAUUGGUAUCGAUGUUCUCGGCAUGAUCCAAAGAAUUUAGGGAGACCACUUUCAUUCCAAUAGUCCAAUGUAUUCAAACUUUAUUAGCAUUUAUUGUAAAUUUCUUUAUAACUUUUGACCACAAGGUGGCGCUGUGCCCAAAGUUUUUGAGUACC